CUUAUACUCCCUCCGUUCCAAAUUACUCGUCGCAGAAAUGGAUGUAUCUAGAACUAAAAUACAUCUAGAUACAUCCAUACCUACGACAAGUAAUUCAGAACAGAGGGAGUAGAUU
rnacentral:pre_miRNA from 1 species